AUUGAACGCUGGCGGCAUGCUUUACACAUGCAAGUCGAACGGUAACAGGCCUUCGGGUGCUGACGAGUGGCGAACGGGUGAGUAAUGCAUCGGAACGUACCCAGAGGUGGGGGAUAACGCAGCGAAAGCUGUGCUAAUACCGCAUGUGAUCUGAGGAUGAAAGCGGGGGACCGAGCAGCAAUGUUUGGCCUCGCGCCUUUGGAGCGGCCGAUGUCGGAUUAGCUAGUUGGUGGGGUAAAGGCCUACCAAGGCGACGAUCCGUAGCUGGUCUGAGAGGACGACCGGCCACACUGGGGCUGGGACACGGCCCAGACUCCUACGGGAGGCAGCAAUGGGGAAUUUUGGACAAUGGGCGCAAGCCUGAUCCAGCAAUGCCGCGUGCGGGAAGAAGGCCUUCGGGUUGUAAACCGCUUUUGGCAGGAACGAAACGGUGUCCGCUAAUACCGGGCGCUAAUGACGGUACCUGCAGAAUAAGCACCGGCUAACUACGUG
rnacentral:rRNA from 1 species